rnacentral:rRNA from 1 species
UCGAGCGAUGAAGUUUCUUCGGAAAUGGAUUAGCGGCGAACGGGUGAGGAACACGUGAAGAAUCUGCCCUCCACUUUGGGAUAACACAGGGAAACCUGUGCUAAUACCGAAUAUUGAAACAUAAGUGGCAUCACUGAGUUUUGAAAGAAUUUCGGUGGAGGAUGACUUCGCGGCCUAUCAGCUAGUUGGUGAGGUAAUGGCUCACCAAGGCAACGACGGGUAGCCGGCCUGAGAGGGCGACCGGCCACACUGGGACUGAGACACGGCCCAGACUCCUACGGGAGGCAGCAGUGGGGAAUAUUGGGCAAUGGAGGAAACUCUGACCCAGCGACGCCGCGUGCGGGAUGAAGGCCUUCGGGUUGUAAACCGCUUUCAGUAGGGAAGAAGCGAAAGUGACGGUACCUACAAAAGAAGCACCGGCUAACUAUGUGCCAGCAGCCGCGGUAAUACAUAGGGUGCAAGCGUUGUCCGGAAUUAUUGGGCGUAAAGAGCUCGUAGGUUGUUUGUUACGUCGGAUGUGAAAACCUGAGGCUCAACCUCAGGCCUGCAUUCGAUACGGGCAAACUAGAGUUUGGUAGGGGAGACUGGAAUUCCUGGUGUAGCGGUGGAAUGCGCAGAUAUCAGGAGGAACACCAAUGGCGAAGGCAGGUCUCUGGGCCAAUACUGACACUGAGGAGCGAAAGUCUGGGGAGCGAACAGGAUUAGAUACCCUGGUAGUCCAGACCGUAAACGGUGGGCACUAGUUGUGGGGACCUUCCACGGUUUCUGCGACGCAGCUAACGCAUU